AUUGAACGCUGGCGGCAGGCUUAACACAUGCAAGUCGAGCGCGCGGCGGACGGGUGUGAAAUGUCUGGGAACCUGCUUUAAGGAGGGGGUAAACUCCUGGAAACGGUAGCUAAUCCCGCAUACCUUUCGAUUUGACCUGGUGGGAUUAGCUAGUAGGUGGGGUAAUGGCUCACCUAGGCGAAGAUCCCUAGCUGGUCUGAGAGGGUGACCGGCCACACUGGAACUGAGACACGGUGCAGACUCCUACGGGAGGCAGCAGUGGGGAAUAUUGCGCAAUGGGCGAAAGCCUGAUGCAGCCAUGCCGCGUGAGUGAAGAAGGCCUUCGGGUUGUAAAACACUGUCAGCGAGGAGGCGUUACUCAAAGAGGAAGCACCGGCUAACUCCGUGCCAGCAGCCGCGGUAAUUC
rnacentral:rRNA from 1 species